rnacentral:lncRNA from 1 species
UAUAUAUAUAUAUAUAUAUAUAUAUAUUAGGGCUGUCAAACGAUUAAUUUUUUUAAUCGUGAUUAAUCGCAUUUUGUCCAUAGUUAACUCGCGAUUAAUCGCAAUUCUUUUUGCACAUUUUUUUCUGUUCUAAAUGUACCUUGAUGUAUUUUUUAAUGUUCUUAAUACUUUUAACAAUAUAAGAAAGGGCAAAUAUGCUUGCAUUAUGAAAAUUUUUUUUCAACACUUCAAAUCAUGCAGGAAAAUAAAAGGGCUUUUUUUGUUGUCUGCUUUUGGUGGGGGGGGGUCUCUCUGCAUCUGCCCUGUGUUUGGCUUGCAACUGAUGUUUGAGACUCAAUGUACUUCGAUGGUAACUCAUUUCAUGUCGAUAGUACAUGCAGAUAACUUUUGUCCUAUGGACCGAACCAUCUGGCUGUUUUGAAAGUAGUUUGCCGUUCAUACCAUAAAUGACCAAAUAAUAUCCGGGUUUCAAUUAACCACAGGGUCCCUUUAAACGCCGGUGCAGAUGUAUAUUUUGGUAAAUAACCGCCGGUUCCAAAUAAAUGUCGGGUAUAAUUUUUUAUUUUUUAAAAAAUUAAGGAAGAAGACCUGUCCACUGACACCGCACGUUUUUCUUCUUCGCCUUUUUCACGCAGUGUGCUGCUUUCUGUCAGUCAGCAUCACACUGAUGAUCACCAUGGCUCCGGUGCAGCAAAACAAUAAAAAGUACCACUUGAAAUUCAAACUUUCUGUCGUAAAGCAGAGGAAAACUCGGGAGAAGCAGCCGCUAGAUGUUUCUCUGUCGACCAGAAGAGAGUGAGAGAAACGGAGCUUGAGCGUCUGUCUGAGGAGGACAUCAACAGGACCAGGCUGCCUGCUGGAGGGAGGAAGAAGGCUAGCGAGGAGCCUGAGAUAAACAUGCGGGGAUGAGUUAUCAGCAAACGCGCACGCCAUGAGAGAGUUCCGUUCCGUUCCGUUUUCUUUCCGCUUAUCCAUGAGGGUCGCGGGAUGUUGCCGCUUUUUUCCCCCCUAAGGGGUUGCGGGGCUUACUGGGGCCAAAUCCAGUCUUACUCUAUGGGCGUAGGCCAGGGUACACCCUGGACGAGUCGCCAGCUCAUCGCAGGACCCUUACUGAUGGCAGUGGCUGCCUUCACAAGGUGCCAACUGCACAUCAGGAGCAACUUCGGGGUUCAUAUCUUGCUCAAGGAUACUUCGACAUGUAGCUCAGUCCCGCCCUGGGGAGCCGGGAUUCGAACCAGUAAUCUUCUGAUCACCAGUCAACCAGCUCUACCCACUGAGCUACAGCCGCCCCUGAAUUUCAAAUAUCAUGCAAUUAAUUCAAUAUUUCACACAAUUAAAAUCUAAUACUACUCCUGUCGAUCUCCUCCGCUAGGUGCUGCCACAAGACACUCAAUCGUAGAAAAAUACAAUAGCUCGCUACACAUUGAAAAAAAGUGCAGUGGCCUCAUUUACAGCAGCCAAAACUGCAUGGAGGUUAAAAAGGAGAUGGGGUGGAAACUACAUCAGCAAGCAGCAUUGUACUGUGAGACACUAUCUCAGUAUGCAGACUACAAAAAAUCUGCCAGAUAAGACACAAUGAUGUAUCAAACCAUAUUCUACCUGUGUAGGCUUGCUAGCUAGCUACAAUAGCCGUAUUUUACUAAAUGUACGAUCUCAACAAAUCUGCACAUGGUAGCCCUAAUUUAAAGUGCACUGUACAUAUCAGCUGUCAUAACUGCACACCAGAAUAAGCAGCUGCCUGCAGUUUCAGCUGCAGGUGCCAAUGGAGAGCAAAGUGUUCUUGUUUGUUUGUUACCUUUUCUUGAUGCAAGCUAUUUCUCAAAAACAUUUGAAAAGAUUGUGCCUUUAAAAAAAAGUGAUGGGGAUAAAAAUUGUCCAUUUAAAAAAAUGGACAUGCAAGGGCAACGUCCACAGUAUCGAUGGUUGCCAGCUUUUAAGAGCCACCGUUUUACAAGUGAUAACAACUGAACUGUGCACACUGGAGACUAAAAUGAACCUCUCACGUAUGUCACAUUUGAUGAUUUAUUAUUUGCCAUGUUAAUGGUUAAUAAAAAAGAGUGGCUCCUGUAAACCCCCAAAUAUAGACCCACUGGGGGUCCCUGGGCCCAGGUUUGAGAGCCACUAAUUUAAACCCUGUUAAUAUGCAAACACUGUGGGCUGCAGACCAUAUGGUCGUCAUGAUACAGGCAAGUGAUGCUACCUGCGAUGGGGGGGGGGGGGCAGAGAGAGAGAGAGAAAGGGAGGGAGAGAGAGAGACAGAGAGAGGGGAGUACUUCAGGAGCUGUAGCCUACUUAUCGAAAAAAUAGCCUACAGAAGCGAAUUUAGAUUCUUGCAUUCAGUGUACGGAGCCUGACACAGUCUCAGCCUCCAUAAGAAAAAGAGAGCACACCGAGUGAGAGGGGAAAAAAAACCA